AUGAGGUGCUUACGGGUAACCCCAAAUUUUCAUAUUACCAAGAGUUCAUUGGAUGCCGUGGAGGAGCUUGGGAACUUGACCAGAUUGAACGAGCUCUCUUUGUACUUGUCUGAUGGAUAUAGAUACAAGAGGCAUGAGGAGGUGCUACUCUCCUCACUAUGCAAGCUUAGCCGUUGCAAACUCCGGUCUUUAUAUAUAAGUAGGGAAUGGGGUUCACUCAACUUUAUAGACUCUUGGUCCCCUCCAUCCUCCCUUCGGAUAUUCCAUAUGUCUAGCAACAUGCAUUUAGCAAACAUUCCAAAGUGGAUUUCUCCGGGACUCACAAGCCUUGUUAAUUUGGACAUCAAUGUUACUUAA
rnacentral:rRNA from 1 species